rnacentral:rRNA from 1 species
AACUGGAGGAGGGUGGGGAUGACGUACAAGUCAUCAUGGUCCCUUACGGCCUGGGCUACACACGUGCUACAAUGGUCGGUACAGAGGGUUGCCAAGCCGCGAGGUGGAGCUAAUCCCAGAAAACCGAUCGUAGUCCGGAUCGCAGUCUGCAACUCGACUGCGUGAAGUCGGAAUCGCUAGUAAUCGCGAAUCAGAAUGUCGCGGUGAAUACGUUCCCGGGCCUUGUACACACCGCCCGUCACACCAUGAGAGUGGGUUGCACCAGAAGUAGCUAGUCUAACCUUCGGGAGGACGGUUACCACGGUGUGAUUCAUGACUGGGGUGAAGUCGUAACAAGGUAGCCGUAGGGGAACCUGCGGUUGGAUCACCUCCU